GAUGAAGAACGUAGCGAAAUGCGAUAAGUAGUGUGAAUUGCAGAAUUCAGUGAAUCAUCGAAUCUUUGAACGCACAUUGCGCCCCUUGGUAUUCCAUGGGGCAUGCCUGUUCGAGCGUCAUUUGUACCUUCAAGCCUUGCUUGGUGUUGGGUGUUUGUCUCGCCUCUGCGCGCAGACUCGCCUCAAAACAAUUGGCAGCCGGCGUAUUGAUUUCGGAGCGCAGUACAUCUCGCGCUUUGCACUCACAACGGCGGCGUCCAAAAGUACAUUUUUACACUCUUGACCUCGGAUCAGGUAGGGAUACCCGCUGAACUUAAGCAUAUCAAUAAGCGGAGGA
rnacentral:misc_RNA from 1 species